rnacentral:rRNA from 1 species
AGCAGCCGCGGUAAUUCCAGCUCCAAUUGCGUAUAUUAAAGUUGUUGCAAAAAGCUCGUAGUUGAAUUUUGGGGUUCUACCGUUGGUCGGGCAAUAGUCUGUACUGGCGUGUGGAAUUUCUACCUUCUGGGGAAUCAUCAUGUUAAUUUAGCGUGGUGGGAAACCAAAUCCUUUACCUUGAAAAAAUUAGCGUGUUCAAAGCAGGCUUACAUCUGAAUACAUUAGCAUGGAAUAUUAAAAUAGGAUGGUGGUCCUGUUUUGUUGGGUUCUGAAUCACCAUA